rnacentral:rRNA from 1 species
UACGUAGGGGGCAAGCGUUAUCCGGAAUUACUGGGUGUAAAGGGAGCGUAGACGGUAAUGUAAGUCUGGAGUGAAAGGCGGGGGCCCAACCCCCGGACUGCUCUGGAAACUAUGUUUCUAGAGUGCAGGAGAGGUAAGCGGAAUUCCUAGUGUAGCGGUGAAAUGCGUAGAUAUUAGGAGGAACACCAGUGGCGAAGGCGGCUUACUGGACUGUAACUGACGUUGAGGCUCGAAAGCGUGGGGAGCAAACAGG